rnacentral:sRNA from 1 species
AUUCUGCCCAUGCGGGGAAGGACGAGAAGCUUUGACCAAGGUUCGACUCGAGCGUCAGCGAGAGAGCGUUGCCGCAGGCAACGACCCGUAGGGCGAAGCGCGCAGCGCUGAGUAAUCCUUCCCCCACCACCA